UUGAAAUUAGUGGUGCAAUGUACUGAGC
rnacentral:sRNA from 1 species